rnacentral:tRNA from 3 species
GCGGGUGUAGCUCAGUGGUAGAGCCCCUGCCUUCCAAGCAGAUUGCGAGGGUUCGAUUCCCUUCACCCGCUCCA